UGAGGAAUUUUGCGCAAUGGGAGCAAUCCUGACGCAGCAACGCCGCGUGGGUGAUGAAGGCCUUCGGGUCGUAAAGCCCUGUCAGGUGGGAAGAAUGUCCCGUGAGCGAACAGUUUGCGGGAGUGACGGUACCACCAGAGGAAGCACCGGCUAACUCCGUGCCAGCAGCCGCGGUAAUACGGAGGGUGCAAGCGUUAUUCGGAAUUACUGGGCGUGAAGCGCGUGUAGGCGGUCCUGCAAGUCUGAUGUGAAAGCACCGGGCUUAACCCGGGAAGUGCAUUGGAAACUGCAGGUCUUGAGUACUGGAGAGGAUGGGGGAAUUCCCGAUGUAGAGGUGAAAUUCGUAGAGAUCGGGAGGAAUAUCAGUGGCGAAGGCGCCCAUCUGGACGGUAACUGACGGUGAGACGCGAAAGCGUGGGGAGCAAACA
rnacentral:rRNA from 1 species